rnacentral:lncRNA from 1 species
CUUGACUAAUGAAGACUUUAAACCCCUAAAUAAGUGAACAAAGGAGCAAUGUUCCCAGAAGCAUUUGCCUAAAGUAAUUUGAGGUUAUUUAGUAACCAGCACAAUGCACGGAGUCACUGUAAAUUCAAGAUUGCAUGCUGCAUUCUGUUCAGACUUUACAGACUGCCAGGGAACUGAAAGAGCAGUUCAUCCCCUGCUUCAGUGAUUUCUUACGAGAUCCAUUGGAGUGGCCCAGCACGUCAGGACCAGAUUCUACUGGCAUCAGACCUGCCUGUAUGUCUAUUAUCACAUGCAGCCUUGCACUUCACAUGGAUAUCCACUGAGUUGCUAGAUGAAUCUUCACUGCACCGUCCCAGCAGAUGAACCCAGCCUAAACUUCUACUACUGCACCUGCACAGCUGCCUUGCCACCACUGCUUGUUUGUCAAGGGCUCCUCAAUGUCUGUGUAAUACGUAGAAUAUGGAAGAAAAUUAACAUACCAGUGUAUCAUGAAGCGGCCACAUCACACCAGGGUUUGGGAUUUUUGUGGGGGAGUUGUUUUGUGCUUUUCUUGUAUUGUACCUAACAGAAAUGGAGCUGGACUUUCCAGGGUAUUGUGGCAAUACAAGCUAUAAAUAAUAAUUACAAUAAUAAUCUCCAAUUUCAACAAAGCUUCUGGGCUAGCACAUAAAAACUGAAAUACUAGACUGCCAGAUUUUAAAGACAAAUGUUUUG